GGACAACCUGCCCUGAGGACUGGAAUAAUCCCGGGAAACUGGGGGUAAUUCCAGAUAUGCCAGAACUCCUGGAAUGGGUUCUGGCAGAAAGGCUCCGGCGCCUCAGGAUGGGUCUGCGGCCUAUCAGGGUAGUAGUGGGUGUAACGUACCUACUAGCCUACGACGGGUACGGGUUGUGAGAGCAAGAGCCCGGAGAUGGAUUCUGAGACACGAAUCCAGGCCCUACGGGGCGCAGCAGGCGCGAAAACUUUACAAUGCGGGAAACCGUGAUAAGGGAACCCCGAGUGCCCGUAAAUUCGGGCUGUCCAUCAGCGUAAAUAACUGGUGAAGAAAGGGCCGGGCAAGACCGGUGCCAGCCGCCGCGGUAAUACCGGCGGCUCGAGUGGUGGCCACUAUUAUUGGGCUUAAAGCGUCCGUAGCUUGGUUGUUAAGUCUCUUGGGAAAUCUACCGGCUCAACCGGUAGGCGUUCAGGAGAUACUGGCAAUCUAGGGACCGGGAGAGGUGAGAGGUACUCCAGGGGUAGGAGUGAAAUCCUGUAAUCCUUGGGGGACCACCUGUGGCGAAGGCGUCUCACUAGAACGGCUCCGACAGUGAGGGACGAAAGCUGGGGGAGCAAACCGGAUUAGAUACCCGGGUAGUCCCAGCUGUAAACGAUGCGCGUUAGGUGUAUCGGUGACCACGAGUCACCGAGGUGCCGAAGGGAAACCGUGAAACGUGCCGCCUGGGAAGUACGGUCGCAAGGCUGAAACUUAA
rnacentral:rRNA from 1 species